AUCCAUUCCGCGUGAGUGAAGAAGGCCUUCGGGUUGUAAAGCUCUUUCGCAAGGGAAGAAAACUUAUGAUCGAAUAAAUCAUGAGGUUGACGGUACCUUGAUAAGAAGCACCGGCUAACUACGUGCCAGCAGCCGCGGUAAUACGUAGGGUGCGAGCGUUAAUCGGAAUUACUGGGCGUAAAGCGUGCGCAGGCGGUUUUGUAAGUCGGAUGUGAAAUCCCCGGGCUCAACCUGGGAACUGCGUUCGAAACUGCAAGGCUAGAGUGUGUCAGAGGGGGGUAGAAUUCCACGUGUAGCAGUGAAAUGCGUAGAGAUGUGGAGGAAUACCAAUGGCGAAGGCAGACCCCUGGGAUAACACUGACGCUCAUGCACGAAAGCGUGGGGAGCAAACAGGAUUAGAUACCCUGGUAGUCCACGCCCUAAACGAUGUCAACUAGUUGUUGGUAGAGUAAAAUCUAUGAGUAACGUAGCUAACGCGUGAAGUUGACCGACUGGGGAGUACGGUCGCACGAUUAACACUCAACGGAAUUGACGGGGGGCCGCACAAGCGGUGGAUCAU
rnacentral:rRNA from 1 species